UACAGAGGGUGCGAGCGUUGUCCGGAAUCACUGGGCGUAAAGGGCGCGUAGGCGGCCCGGUAAGGUUGCGGUGAAAGCCCGGGGCUCAACCCCGGGUCGGCCGUGGCAACUGCUGGGCUGGAGCACAGUAGAGGCGGGUGGAAUUCCGGGUGUAGCGGUGGAAUGCGUAGAGAUCCGGAAGAACACCAGUGGCGAAGGCGGCCUGCUGGGCAGUUUUGCUGACACUGAGGCGCGACAGCGUGGGGAGCAAACAGG
rnacentral:rRNA from 1 species